AACAUUCGUACCCGAGGCAGCAUCGGAGGCGGACGGCUUCUUCUCCUGCUCCCGAGUGUUUUGUGUGAAGUUCUAGCUCUGCUGGCUGACUGACUGAUUGGUGUGUGAAAACAAAAAAAUCAGUUUUAUUUUCGCUCUUGUGUGGCUGCAUAGAAGAAAUUCUUUUCUGAUAAGCUCGGAAAAGGUAUAAAAGGAUAUUUUCCUUUCAUUUUCGGUGCGCGUCGCGUGUGUGUAUGUGUGAGAGGAGGAAUCUGAAGACGAAUUCCGGAAUUCAUCCGUCGAGGGCGCGUCUGGUCUCAAAUUGAAAAAAAAAGAAGGAUUUUCCCAGUGCGAAGUUGCAACAGAAGUGCGUCUGUGUUUAUUGUCGCCGCCGUCGUUGUCGUUUGCGUCGGAACUUUGUGUGAAAAAAUUCUAGUGGUGCAGGAGCAGCAAAGCGCAGAUCCGUCAUCAAUCUGUCGUUUUCAGUCCGAAUCGGAUCACGGAAGUCGUCCGGACCCUUCUAGUGCGUCGAAGAGUGUCAGUGGAAAGUGCGUCAAGAAAAAUUUUCCCCAUCGGGAAAAAGGCUAGAGAAAGAGAACGAGGUGCUCUGGUCAGUUCAGCAGUGUUGCUGCAGAGCAUAUCUGCAGACGGAAAAUUUGGUUGGAUAACGCGAUAGCGUCAGCCCAGCCAACAGUGUGUGUGGAGCGCCGCGCCGAAGGCAGCCCAUCACCUGAGCCAACAACAUACGCUAAGAAAGCGUAGCAGUUGAUACAUAAAAACAGCUUAAAACCGAACAGCGGAAGGGUUGUGAUUCGAAUACUAGUUUUUUUUUAUAAGUAAACAAAAGUGAACCAUUCUCUCUUAGUCAUAAAUAUUUCCUAAGGUGAUAAUGUCCUGUGAAAAGUGUUUAAAUAUCAAUUGAACCAAUUUGACGGUGGUUCGAUUCUAACGCGUUGAUUGUCCAACCAUAUCCCGUUGGAGCAGGCUCAAUCGGCGCCCAUUUGUGUGUACACUUUUUCUUGAAUCAAGACAACUCGCGAAUCGACUCGCUUCGAAAUACGUAUGCGUCCGAACAACGUUUACGAUCGCUAUCGCUGGAAAAAGAUGGAUCAACCGAUGGAACGAGGCGCCACGGCGGCCGUCGAUGCCGUCAGUGGACAGAAAAUUCCAGUCCUCACCACCACCGGAGGAGGUGGUGGUGGUGGUGGCGGCGGCGGGGGAGGAGGUACUUCCAGUCCCACACGGACCUCCGAAUCUCCGUCGUCACAAUCCACAUCGCCAUCAGGUGGUACGGCUGGCUCCACGACAUCACCGCUGUCGAGACGGGCCAACAAAAGGAAAAAUUCCUCAGUCAACCUAGCGACAGGAAACGCAGCAGCCCGCAAGCGGCGUAAGCUUCAGCAGGCACAGCAGCAGAAGACAGGCGAUCCGGCCGGAGCCGACCAGGGUCCCCAGACGAAGAAUACCGUCGCGGUGCUGAACGAACUGAAGCGGAACCUGGUGUACAACAUGGAAUCGCAAACUGGCCCGGUGCAUGCGCCCCUCUUCACGAUGUCUGUGGUGGUCGACGGUCAAAAGUUCAUGGGUCACGGCCGGAGUAAAAAGUUGGCGCGGAUUGAAGCUGCCGCGGCAGCCCUGCGAAGUUUCAUCCAGUUCAAAGACGGUGCCACACUAACCCCGAUCAAACCACUGCAGAACGUGGACUUUACCAGCGACGAUCCGAUGAUCGAUAACAGCAUAUUCCCGCUGUCGGAUCCGCCGGCGCUGCCGGAAUCGGUUGUGACUACUCCGGCGGCUGCGGCUGUGACGACGACGCCGAACAACAAGUCCAAGGGACCGUCCGAAAGGGAACACAAGGAUCGCCAGAACGGACCCAACCACAACAAUAACAAUAAUAAUAAUACCAACAACAACAACAACAACAUCAACAUCAACAAUGUGCACUCAACAAACAACAGUAAUUCCCCUUGUCAGCCCAGUCCAAGUUCAAAUUUCAGCCAUCAUAACAGUACUACCACUAGUUACUAUCACCAAACCGCUAGCCCUAACAGUACUACUAGUAAACCCAGCUACAAUAACAAUAACAUUAACAAUAGCAACACUACUUCCGGUUUUCCUACGUCCCAUCCCGGUUCCUUCUGUAACAAUAGUACACCACCGCAAGGACACUUCCAUUCCCUUCACAACCAAAACCAUUACACCUACAACAACAACAACAACAAUCACUAUUCGAGUUACCACUACCACAACCAACACGAAAAUUAUCUGCAACUGCAAAAACAACAACAACAACACCACAAUCAUAACCAAGUGGUGCCGCAUCAGCAGUCUACCAAUCACUACUACAGCAAGACCGGCAGCAGUGCGAAUGCCUUCGCCGCGGCCAUUGCAACGGUUGCCUCCAACUCCUCUUCCACCAAAAUUGACAAUACCACCAAUACCACCAAAACCACCACCAUCACUACCACCAUGAACCAUAGCAGUAAUGCCAACAAUAUCUUAGCGACUACUACUGCUGCUUGUCCUCCGCCAGGCGCCGCCGCUGCUGCGACAAACAAUAGCAGCGGCAACAGUGCUGCUGGUGGUAGUGGUAGCCAUGCUUCAAGCCAUGCCAACAUCAACCCGAGCAACAGCAACAGCAUCAUCGGCAACAACAGCAGCAGCAGCAGCAAUAGCAGUAGUAGCAGUGUAGGUGGUGGAUCGACGCCGACAGCUGCUGCUGCAGCAGUGACCCCCGUUAGCGCGCAUAACGGCCAUCGGCAGGUGGUCGAAAAGAUACAGCAAAGUUUAGAUCUAUUUAAAAAUUCCAAUGAAAAGAAUGUAGCAUGGAAGAAGCGAUUAGAAAAGCUCAAAACGUCGGCGGUCAGCGCGUCGCGGAAUGUGACACCCGGCCAACCGCCGAAGCCCCAGCCGGAGAAGGGACCGGUCAUGUUGCUGCACGAGCUGUUCACCGAUGCACACUUCGAAUGCGUCUCGACCGAUGGACUGCAGCACUCCAAGUUCACCGUGGUCGUGACGGUCGAUAACCAACGGUUCGAGGGUACCGGCCCGUCGAAGAAGAUGGCAAAGAAUGCUGCGGCCAAGGCGGCCCUCGCGUCCAUGUGCAACAUCUCGUUCAGCCCGCUGCAGCAGGCCAAGUUUGGUGUGAUGAACUCGUCCGUCGGUAUGGGCGGCAUGGGCAUCUCAGGACCCGGCGGGGUCGGCAUCAACGGAGAUGCCACCGGGGGGUGCUACGAUCAGAAGAACGUGGAACUGCCGCAGACGUUUGCCGACGCGGUUGGAAAACUGGUCAUCGAAAAGUUCAACGAAGUGAUGAAGGGCAACGACGUCUACUCGCGACGGAAGGUGCUGGCCGGAAUCGUCAUGACCCAGGGGUACGAUGCCAAGACUGCUAAGGUUAUCUCGCUGGCCACCGGAACGAAAUGCGUCAGCGGCGAGCACAUGAGCGUCACCGGAUCGGUCAUCAACGAUUCGCACGCGGAAAUCAUUGCCCGCCGAGGUCUGUUGGACUUCUUCUACACUCAACUGGAUCUGCACUGUCGGCGACAGACCGCCAACAAGAUCAGCGCCCCGGCCCUAUGCAACGGAAACGGUACCGAAGAGCCGGAACAGCAGCCGGAAAGUAGCAUCUUCGGCGCUCCGACCGAUGGCUCCGGUCUGUACAAACUGAAGGACGGCAUACACUUCCAUCUGUACAUCAACACGGCACCCUGCGGAGACGCCCGAGUGUUCAGUCCGCACGAGAACGACAACAUGGACGUGGACAAGCACCCGAAUCGGAAAGCUCGCGGCCAGCUGCGCACCAAGGUGGAAUCGGGCGAAGGGACGAUACCGGUCAAGAGCAGCGAGGGCAUUCAGACGUGGGAUGGUGUCCUGCAGGGGCAGCGUCUGCUGACGAUGUCCUGCUCGGACAAAAUAUCACGUUGGAACGUACUCGGCUUGCAGGGAUCGCUGCUCGCGUCCGUGAUCGAGCCGAUCUAUCUGCACUCGAUCGUGCUGGGCAGCUUGCUGCAUCCGGCGCACAUGUACCGUGCCAUCUGCGGUCGCAUCGAGAGCUCGAUCCAGGGCCUGCCGCCGCCGUAUCGAUUGAACAAGCCCAAGCUGGCACUGAUGACGUCGGCGGAAUCACGCAACCAAACCAAGCCCCCGAACUUCAGCAUCAACUGGCUGCUCGGGUGCCCGGAGGUUGAGAUCGUCAAUUCCUUCACCGGCAAGCUGAUCAACAACAACACCAACACCAACAAGAUGUCCCGACUGUCGAAGCAGUCGUUCUACCGACGGUACGCGGCCGUCAUUGAGAGGCUUCCGCACGCGCGCUUCCACGAGGUCAAACCGAGCUACGGCGAGUCGAAGACCUGCGUCCCGGAGUACCAGCAGGCGAAGAAGGAACUGUUUAACGCCUUCAGCAAGGAGGAUCUGGGCGACUGGUUGAAGAAACCGAUCGAGCAGGAUCAGUUCACAUUGAUGACGCCGAAACCGGAGGAGCUGGCGGCAGUGGUGACGGUGACCCCGGCGAACAAUGGCGGCAGCAGCAGCAGCAGCGGCGGUGUCGGUUCCGGUGCCAACGCUAGCAACGGUUCAGGACCGACGUCCGGCGGUAAAUGACAGCAGGGGAAGCACUCCGGUAAGCAUCAGAACGGUGGCGGUUCGUCGUCAUCGUCCAGUGCGAGGUUGUUUUGAAAACAGCCGGAGCGGGCGAGAGAACAAAGGUAAAGUCGAAUUAUUGCUCUUUAAGAGAUACGGGGGAAGCAGCUGCCGAUGGAGGAAGUAGUAAUUUUAAGCAGAUAUUUCGUCAUUUGGUACCUAAUCGAAUAGUAGUGGGACGGACGCAAAGGGCAACAUGCAGGAGGCGUAACAACACAGUAGAGUGUUUCGUCGUUACUGGAUUGUGUUUGUACCGUUUACUAGAGGUUAGCUUUUAGGUUUAGGAAACACUCAAUAGUAGCAGGCACCAUUGAUUUUACGUUUUAUCAUUGAUUUUAUACGAUUUUUUUUUUAAACGUUGCAUGUUCAUGUGCACGUUCAGAUCAUUUUAAUUUAUUUUCUACGAGACAGAUUUGACGAAUUUAAGUUUUCUGUUGGUUGUGUGAAAAACUCUACUAUAAUCGGAUAGCAAAAAUGCAUCAUCAUUCUGUGAACGCUAGAAUAGUAACUGACUCUAAUUAAAUACUAAAUUUAUAGGUAGCGUGUAAGUUUUAUCUUUCAAGAUCAGCAUAAAAAACAAAUAAACCGUUUGAACGCUUUGAGCGUUUGUAUGCGCGGAUGAAGGAAGAGUUAGAUGAAAAGAAUAAGUAACUCUUCUUGAGAGCUCAGAUGUUAAAGUAUCAUAUUGAACCGAAUUGUGAUUGCGCGAAAAGCUCGGUUUGCAAAUUACUCUAGGUGAUAAGGUUCCGUCAAAUAGGGGUUGAUGUUACUGGAAACGGAAAAUCAAACUUAAAAGAAUUUGGAUCAGUUGGCGGUUGUUUGGGUUGCUGGCGGGGUUUAGAAGAUUUGAACGCUUUGAUGAGAAUCUGAAACUCUGAUUCGAGUAGGUAAAUCCCACUUGAUUUCAAAGGAAAUUUUGCAAAGCAUUUGAGGCAGAUUCAGAAGACAUCCGAGGACAUUUGUAUUGAUUAGUAGAAGAAGUUAAGUUGAUAAAUGAAGAAAGUACUAAACCACGCAAAUUCCUGAAGACGGUUCAGUCGAAAAUGUAGAUAGUUUCCAAAAGAACUCCAUUUGAAUAAGUGACGAAGACUAAAAAGUACGGCCAUUCGGCCGCCUAUUAGCUGAGAUCGGUUACCUUUUCAUUAGCUCUUUGUGCCAUGUUGCUCCUUACUAGCUCUUAUACCAUGGGAACUUUAACUUGGAGGAGGAAUGGAGCGAAGUGAAAAAGACCAAUCCGUUAGAGCGACAACUAAUUUUAUUCAAACAUUCAUGGCUGACAAAGAUCUAUAUUUAAUUCUAGGCUGUAGUAGAGAGGGACUAGAAUAAGAGAGGAACGGACUGGCUAGUUUUGAGCCAAACGAACUGUCAAAGGCAGAGUCAAUCGAGCAGCGGCUACACUGUACCAAAACAGCAUCCUUUGUUCUAAUGAAACCUCAGGCCAUUAAAAUCGCUUCUUCAAAUGAUAGCUGCAACCGGAUGACGUUUGUCAUGUAAUCAGAUGAUGGUCCUCUCCAAUACAGGAUGAACAUUGAAACGAGAAGUGAACGGACCUCAGCUGUAGAAUGAUUGUUAUCCCAAAUUGAAAUGCAUAUGGUAUUGGUUCAGUCCCAUAACGUAAAUCAUCCUAAACGAUGAUGUAAAUAAUUCAAUCGAACGUCAUUUGCUGAUCUGAGCAGACAAGUAUAGCCAUCGCUAUCAGAGGUAGUACGAACAUUGGAAAAGCGUGGACACCGAAUAUUGUCUAUUUCGUGGUGCAGGAAGUUUCCUCUACCAAUAAGUGAUUUGUGGCUGUUCAUGGCUAUUCAAUAUGGAAAUUUUAACAAUCGAAUUAUAAAUCUAGAAAUCUAGUAUAAAGCAUUUGCAAGUCAUCCUAUCCUUAAAUUGUUGCCCUUUGGCGCUGUAUGUUUUACAGUCAAUUUUCAAAUAAAUCAAGACCAACAAUUGAAAUGGCCUUAACUCCAUUUUGUAAACAAACCUUGUGAGGCCAUUUUCUCGCGAACCGAAGUCCGCAAAGGCAAACCAACAUAAUGAACAGGUAGGGGAAAUUCUCCUCUACCCGAUUGUGGUUUAGGUUUGCGAACGAAGGUUUCGGUUCGCGAGAAAAUGACCUUAGAAGGUUUGUUUACAAAGUGAAGUUGAGGCGAUUUUAAAAAAAAACCUUUAUUUGGAGGGCAGUCAUAUGGAUGCUUAUCAGUUGAUGUCAAAUUCAACCAUAAGGCAAUCAUCCGAAAUUUGACGGCAUACUGUUAAAGGGCUUGAGCAAUGCAAUAUGUGAAUGACGCAAUGAUUGAAUUGGCAGUGUUGCUAGAAAUCAUCUAGUCAUAGGUUGCCAUUUCAGUUUGUUUUGAAUCCGCUCCUCUCAUAGGCUGUAGCUCUUCGCGUUACUAAAAGCAUCGCUUCACUUUCUUCCAGGGAGACUUCGAGCCAAAUACCUACACCAUAGAUGAUUGGAUUGGUAUAGAAAUAAGGAAAACGGGGCGAAAUUUGAAAUUAGUGUUACUGUUAGGGGCAGUAUCAGCGUAGCUUCAUUAGCGGAACUUCUUCAGCAACGCACAGGGUAAACCUUCCAUAGGUUCCCGAUCUCAACCUUAUGUAUCAUCGUCUCCGUUCUUCUUUGGCGGUGAACUGUCGAGGCAAAACUGGCUCGUUUGGAAGAGCCUCCACAGUAAAUAAGGACUGCUGGUAUCUACCGGAUUUUUGAUAUUCUACCAGGAAAGUUGAAGGUUGGUUCGUUGGUUGUCUUAUUAAGGAGAUUUUCAGCCACAAGCGAAAGAUUUUUUUAAGCUUAGGUUCAUCACAUUCAAGCUGAUUAAAGCUGAAUAAGCCUCAUUUUAACUGAAUAAGAUAAUUUAGGGAAGCAUAAACUGCUAUUCAGCUAAAUCUGGCGAUGGUAUUUGAAUCUUUUUUAGACCCAAACGUACUAUUCAAUCGACUGAAUCUCUGGAACCAUAAGCUCGAUGAUCUUGAAAUUUACUAACUUUUCCUAACGGUAAACCUUCAGCAUUUGUUUUUCUUUAUUAAAAAGAUUUUCAGCCUUAGGCUGGUUCAUCUCUAGAGGCUCCAGAAGGAAGACUCUCAAAGUACUAUACUUGUUGGCUCGUUCGUAAGGGCGUCGCGGAUACUCCCGGGUAUAUUGUAGCAGUUUCUAGCUCGUUCGUAUUUUGGGCAGAGGCUAUGAAGUGUUCCACGGUUUGUGGCGUGAGCCAGGGGUCACAUACCCUUCGAAAAGGCCCAUCUCUCUUGUAGUUAUAGGAGAUAUUUGUAUGGCCGGACGGGAUGCCACGACCUGCUCCCGGUGUAGUGGUGGGUCAUCCCACCUGGUAGUAUUUCCUGUGAUCAUUCGGAGGUGAUCUAGCUGCCAUCCAGUCGUAGGCCCAGGCUUCCUUUUUCAAAUCAGGACCUGGGAUCUUUCGGGUUUAAUCUGGCCAUGCGCCGACCAGAGGCAGCGAGGUGGUCUGCUUCUAUGUUCCCUUGGACACCGCCUUUCGGUACAUAUUUUUGGAUCGCCUGGAUUCAAGUUUCAGGAUUUUAGGUGUAUGGUAAGAGCCUUCUGAAAAAAAAAUCGUACCUACGGCUUCUGGGCAUCCUUUUUAGCUGUUCGCUGAAACUGUUUUCCAACAGAAAUUCAACAUGCAACAUGCAUUUUUUGCAAUGUCUUGGCAACUGUCAAUAUGUCAGAUCUAGACGACUCCCAAGGAAAACUAAAAAAGCUGCUUGUUGAGAAAAUUGAAGUUUUCCAAGUACUCUUUCAGGCCUAUUCUGCGCGGCGUGUGGGGUAAGGUGACUCGCUGUCACUAGGGAAGUGACAAUUGUCACCUCGGGUGAGGUGAUUCUCCAUUUGAUUUGUAUGUCCAGCGAACUCCAUACUGCGAUUCAAAUGUUUACCAAUUUUCCUUGGAAUGUCGUCUGUCCUAAAGGGAUUCAGUGGAAUUCUGAUCAAAAACUGAGAAGCUCCAAACGAAAGACUUUAACCAACACUGAUAAUAUUACCUAGGAUAAUCUAGAAAGCUCUGAGAAUAAAUCUAGCAUUGUUAUCGGAGCUACUGAAUUAAUUCAAGAUCAAUUAUCGAAAAGGUCUCAUCAGCUUUUGUAAAAUAAAAAAAAAAAUCUUGUGCGCUUUUCUCGUGAAUCGAAGCUCGUCGACGCAUACCAACAACACUAUCAAAUAGGGGAAGCUUUCCCCUACCUGAUAGUGAUAGUGUGCAGAGGUUGCCUAAGUCAACAACUCCCAGUUGGCAGAUAAUUAAGAUUCUGGGUGGAGUUCAGGCGAGUCCUGAAUGAAAUUACAGGACCAGAAGAUUUCAGUGGAAAAACUUGAGGAGUACUCAUUAGAUUCAGAAUGUAAGCCCGAAGAUAAAUGUAGACAACUCCAGCAUGAUCUGUAGAGGUAUAAUUCCCAGGUAAAAUCUAGGCGAUUACAGACAGAACUUUCAAGGGAAGCGUGCAAAGAUUAGAGGAACUCAAAAUGUCUGCAAGAAAUAGCCUCAAAGGAUUAAAUAGGCUUUGGUCAAGAUAUUUCGGAUUCUCGACUCAAAGUCAAUGGAACUAUUCGUUGCAAGUCCAGAGCUGAUAAGGCAUUUUCAAUUGUCGAUCUAGAAUUGUAGUACUUUAGGAAGUUCUGGGUGACAGUGUUGAUUCCAGUGACAAUGCAGAGGUCGCCUAAGUGAACAACUCCCAGUUUGCGGAUGUUUAAGAUUCUUGGUGGAGUUCAGGCGAGUCCUGAAUGAAAUGUUCAGAACCAGAAGAUUUCAGUGUGAAAACUUGAGGAGUACUCAUAAGAUUCAGAAUAUAAAUGUAGACAACUCCAGGACGAUCUGUAGAGGUAAAAUUCCCAGGUAAAAUCUAGGCGAUUGCAGGCAGAACUUUCAAGGGAAGCGUGCAAAGAUUAGAGAAACUCAAAAUGACUGAAAGAAAUAGCCUAAAAGGAUUAAAUAGGCUUUGGUCAAGAUAUUUCUGAUUCCCGACUCAAAGUCAAUGGAACUAUUCGGUGCAAGACCAGUGAAUGCCAUUGGGAGAAUUUAAAACUUGAUUGAGGAUAAUUUCCGACGUAGUGCAGUAGGUAAAGGCAAUAAAGUCUCUGAUUUGUUUGAAUCUAUUCAUUUAUUUAUCAAGACUCAAAUGUGCAAGCUUUACGGAGCCGAAAUUCGUUUGACUGUUUACAAUGUUUCUUAAUUCUAGAGUUAGCACAAGAGAGGGCUGAAUACUCGUGGCUUACUAGAGGUUAUUCAGGGAAUUCUCGAGAGCAGGUCAAAAACUUCGAAGGAAGGCCUAUAUAAGCAACCACCUUUUAUUGAAUUCUCAUGUGAUUUGAUGAGCGCUGGCUGAAGCCAGAUUCUAACUACUUUCCCUGGGGCACUCGUACCAAGUCCAGAUGUGACCAUUGUG